ensembl:snRNA U6 U6 spliceosomal RNA
GUACUUGCUGUGGCAGUGCCUAUACUAAAACUGGAGUGAUACAGAGGAGACUGGCAUGGCUCCUGAGCAAGGAUAACACACAAAACUCCAAGUGUGGAUGAUUUCA